AUGUAGUAAAUAAAAGUAUGGCC
rnacentral:piRNA from 1 species